GAUGAACGCUAGCGGGAGGCUUAACACAUGCAAGUCGAGGGGCAGCAUAGGGUAGCAAUACUCUGAUGGCGACCGGCAAACGGGUGAGUAACGCGUAUGCAACCUACCCUGUACAGGGGGAUAACUCGGAGAAAUUCGGACUAAUAUCCCGUAAUAAUAUCCGGAGGCAUCUUUGGAUAUUUAAAGUUCCGACGGUACGGGAUGGGCAUGCGUAACAUUAACUGGUUGGUAAGGUAACGGCUUACCAAGGCUAUGAUGUUUAGGGGUCCUGAGAGGGUGGUCCCCCACACUGGUACUGAGACACGGACCAGACUCCUACGGGAGGCAGCAGUGAGGAAUAUUGGUCAAUGGGCCAAGCCUGAACCAGCCAUCCCGCGUGCAGGAAGACGGCCCUAUGGGUUGUAAACUGCUUUUCCAGGGAGAGAAACUUACGCACGUGUUGCGUGACUGACGGUACCCUGGAAUAAGCAUCGGCUAACUCCGUG
rnacentral:rRNA from 1 species